rnacentral:lncRNA from 1 species
GCGGAGGAUGGGUCCGCCGAGGGGGAUCUUGGCUUUCGCCUCGACGAAGUCGGCCAUGGACUCUGCGCCGCGGGAGAAGUCGGACUGGUCCAUGGGGAUGGAAUCAUCGCGGAGGGAGCGGGCAGAGGCGGGGACGAGGCGGGCGUGGGGGAGGCUGGAGACUCCGAAGAGGCCGAAGGAGUGCUGCGACUCCCCGAACUCGACGUCGCAGAAGAAGAGGCGGUGGGUACUGGAGGAGGAGGAAGAGGCGUCGUCUUUGCGGUGAUGGGCGGCGAAGGAGGUGGAGAGGAGGGCGAACUCGGAGUGGAGGUGGGGGAGGUGGAGUUCGGGCUUAGAGCGGAGCUGGGCGGCAUCGAAGAAGAUGAGAAGGGAGUAAGGGCGGGGGGCGGCGGCGGAGGUUAGGAAGCGCGAAACCAAGCGGUCGUCGAGGUGGAUCACGCCGGAUUGCGAUUGCGAUCGGAGGGUCUCCAACUCCGCAACCAGAUCCUCACCCGACGGGGAAGAGGCGGCGCCGCCCAGCAUCACCAGCAGGAGGAUGAGGAGGG